rnacentral:lncRNA from 1 species
UGAAACUAUCCUAUUAUGAUUAAAAUUGUCUAAUUGAUCAGUUUAACCUAGAACUCUUCUAUUCAGUCUCUCUCAUCUCCUUCGUUUGAACCCUAACACCACCUUCAAAUUCCACAAUUUCCACCGGCAAUAGGCCCCCAAAUCCUCUCAAAAUUUAACCACACAACUACCACUUUCACCUUAUUCUCAACCUACCACCAUAUCCCCUCAAAUCCUAACCAAAUGGAACCAAUUUUGGAUCUAAAAAAGUAGAAGAAAAAGAAAAUCUUCCAAAAAAACAUUGAAUUUUCUUUGAACGAUUAGGAUUAGAAUUGGUGUUACUCAUCUAUUCUCAAGGAGGACACACAAUUAAUACUAGUUGUUGCUCAAAAUUAAAGGUGUUGAAGUUAGUUCAAGUCCAUUGUCCAUCCGCCUAGUCUAGGUAUUUUUCUGGCCGUUGUUCUUUCCUUCAUCUCUUGUUUUAUUCUCAUCAUCUUCUUCUGUUUCUUUUUUUUGUUGUUUCUCAAAUCGUUAUGUAUACAUGAUAACGUUGGGUUUUUCUUAGUCAACAUUAUUUCAGUUUCUUUGAUUUUGUUGUUUGAUUUGCUCAAAUUUCUUUUUAUUGUGUUUUCUUUGGAUUCGUGGCUUCAAGAGUUUUCUAUAACUCCGUUGGCCCAAUUUCUUGAUUGGUUUUAUGUUGGUUUUGGAAUUAGAGUUGGGUUCUGUUAAUCAAAAGCCCAAUGAGGGAAGGGUUCAUCCGAGUUUGCAAGCCUAGGGGUUUUGGGUUGAUUAUUGGGUCAACUUGACCCAUAUAUAGUUCAUGAGGGUAAUAACAAACAUUUGAAGGGUAGUUUAGGGAAAGGGAUAAGGGGAAUCUUGUGUAGUUGCCUAGGAAAUUGUUAGGAAGGUGGACUUUGGGUUAAUUCUAACAAACAGAACUCAACAUAAGGGUUUAAAAUGCAAAAAUAAAAAUUCAAAGAAGGGGUAAUUGGUAAAAUCAGAAACCAAUUCUGCUGCCCUAGAGGUCUCUAUAAAAGGCCUAUUUCUUUCUUCAGAUGAGAGAGCUGAAAAUACUAAUUUAAAAAAACUGAGAAAACAGUUGAGCUGAAAAAACACAUAAAAUCUCUUGCAUGUUUGAUAGAAAUUGGUUGAGUUUUACUCUUAUCUUCGUAUUUUGAAACUUCCUUAAGAAUUUCUGGUCAUUCUGGGUUCAAAAAUGGUUAAAAAGACUGAGUAAUGUUGUUUGUUUGGCUGUUUUGGUGCUGCUGAUAUUCUUCUGUUGUUUCCUCCUAAUCCCAAGCUAUUAUUCUUGUUUAUUUUGUUGUAUUCAGGUACUUACUAAACCUCAUUUGACAUGUUGAAAUUAAAGGAUUUGCAACUGUUGAUUAAGUUGGAAACUUAUGGCAUAUAUGUUCAUCAAAUGCCCUUCUUGUGUUCUUAAACUCACUCAAUUCUGUAGUAGUUUAGUUCAUUUUCAUGUAUUUACCUAAUCAUUUAUGUUGUUAGAUUAUAUUUGGUUUGUAAGUUAGGAUAGUUGUUUAAAUUUAGUGGAUUUUGUUUGUAAAGCUAUUAAAGUGUUGUUUGUCAUUUAAGACUAUUGAAUCUACUGCAGCAUAGGUUUAUGUCGGAUUAAGUAAUUUUUAUAUUUGUUUAAGUCUGUCGAAAUCAACAUGGUAUUUGGGAACUUUGCUUGAUUUGUUAAGUAUCAGUAUAUGGAACAGGAUGUUUAUCUUUGUUCAUGUUGUUUCACGUAUGGGAUGUAUGUAGGAUUCCUUUCUAUAUCCUUGUUGGGACAAGCUGUAGGAUGUAGCCUAUUUUGUUUGAAUCAUGAUGGUUUGUUCACAUUUACAGGUCCUUUGGUUAAUAUUUUCCUUUAAAUGCUAGCUUUUGAUCCUAC